UCUCUCUCUCUCUCUCUCUCUCUCUCUCUCUCUCUCUCUCUCUCUCUCCCUCUCCCCCCCAGCACCUUUUCUACACCAGCUUCCUAGCUGCACAGAGUUACCAACACCCUUGGGAUCACCCCACCCCCUGCACCCCCGCUGGGGACCGGACCUUCGGAGAGUUGUUUGGGGUAAGGGGAGACGAAAAAGUGAAGGUGAAGAGAGAUAGGAAUUAGUGCUGGUUCUCCUGUGGAACUCACUGGGCAAAACCAGAAGUGUUCAGUUCGAUCCAGGGCGUCUCGGCUGUUCACGCACCGAGGAUCCCCAGCGGUCAGAGAAGAGGGAAACGCCCCUCCAACUUGUGGCUGGAACAGGCACCUUCUGGACAUCUCCACCUAAGCUGGACCAGGCAACUGGGUGUUGGAUGCUGGGCGAGGUCUGGAGGUCCGAGACCACUGCCUCUGCUCUGCUUUCCCUGCCUGGGGAAGGGACCGAGGGAAGAGAGAGUCGCGGAGAAAGUGCUGAUUAGAAGCUGCGAAAACUGGCAGGAACAACCCACCCCGCAGGGCUGGGGGGAUUGAGCCGCAUUCAGUGGGCCAGGAAGGGGUCUCGGAAUCCCUUGGAACCCCCGAGGAGUCUGCGCUCUCACCCACAGAGCGAGGGCGCACUGACACCUGCUGGUGGCUCAGGGUCAGUGCUGAGUACCCUCAAGCAAUUUGAUACACAGGAUUCUGGAGAUACUUGAGAACCCCAGCAUGGGUAAUCUAGGGCUUCUCUUUAGUAAGCUCCCUACCUUCAAUAAGGACGAAACUGCUUAAAGGAAAGGGGGUUUCCGUUUUCAAAUAACAUUGGAAUGUGUUAUUUCAAAAUCACCCAAAGUUCCUAAAGGAGAAAACCAUUGUCUUUUUUCCUACUUCUUUCCUUUUCUUUCUUUCUUUUGCCCCCAAUAGUGCGGUUAUUUAUGCAUAAAUAAAUAUAAAAGUCAAAAGA